rnacentral:rRNA from 1 species
GGUUAAGUGAAUAAGGGCGCACGGUGGAUGCCUUGGCACUAGGAGCCGAUGAAGGACGGGACUAACACCGAUAUGCUUUGGGGAGCUGUAAGUAAGCUAUGAUCCAGAGAUUUCCGAAUGGGGGAACCCAAUAUCUUUUAUAGGAUAUUACUUUUCAGUGAAUACAUAGCUGAUUAGAGGUAGACGCAGAGAACUGAAACAUCUUAGUACCUGCAGGAAGAGAAAGAAAAUUCGAUUCCCUGAGUAGCGGCGAGCGAAACGGGAAGAGCCCAAACCAACAAGCUUGCUUGUUGGGGUUGUAGGACUCCAAUAUGGUAGUCUGUUAGUAUAGUUGAAGGAUUUGGAAAAUUCCGCUAAAGAGGGUGAAAGCCCCGUAGACGAAAUGCUGACAACACCUAGGAGGAUCCUGAGUACGGCGGAACACGAGAAAUUCCGUCGGAAUCCGCGGGGACCAUCCCGCAAGGCUAAAUACUCCCUAGUGACCGAUAGUGAACCAGUACCGUGAGGGAAAGGUGAAAAGCACCCCGGAAGGGGAGUGAAAUAGAUCCUGAAACCGUGUGCCUACAACAAGUCAAAGCUCGUUAAUGAGUGAUGGCGUGCCUUUUGUAGAAUGAACCGGCGAGUUACGAUUGCAUGCGAGGUUAAGUCGAAGAGACGGAGCCGCAGCGAAAGCGAGUCUGAAUAGGGCGAAUGAGUAUGUAGUCGUAGACCCGAAACCAUGUGAUCUACCCAUGUCCAGGUUGAAGGUGCGGUAAAACGCACUGGAGGACCGAACCCACGUACGUUGAAAAGUGCGGGGAUGAGGUGUGGGUAGCGGAGAAAUUCCAAACGAACUUGGAGAUAGCUGGUUCUCUCCGAAAUAGCUUUAGGGCUAGCCUCGGAAUUGAGAAUGAUGGAGGUAGAGCACUGUUUGGACUAGGGGCCCAUCUCGGGUUACCGAAUUCAGAUAAACUCCGAAUGCCAUUCAUUUAUAUCCGGGAGUCAGACUGCGAGUGAUAAGAUCCGUAGUCGAAAGGGAAACAGCCCAGACCACCAGCUAAGGUCCCAAAAUAUAUGUUAAGUGGAAAAGGAUGUGGGGUUGCACAGACAACUAGGAUGUUGGCUUAGAAGCAGCCACCAUUUAAAGAGUGCGUAAUAGCUCACUAGUCGAGUGACCCUGCGCCGAAAAUGUACCGGGGCUAAACAUAUUACCGAAGCUGUGGACUACACCAUUAGGUGUAGUGGUAGGAGAGCGUUCUAAGGGCGUUGAAGGUCGAUCGUGAGGACGGCUGGAGCGCUUAGAAGUGAGAAUGCCGGUAUGAGUAGCGAAAGACAGGUGAGAAUCCUGUCCACCGUAUGACUAAGGUUUCCUGGGGAAGGCUCGUCCGCCCAGGGUUAGUCGGGACCUAAGCCGAGGCCGAUAGGCGUAGGCGAUGGACAACAGGUUGAUAUUCCUGUACCAGUUGUUUUUGUUUGAGCAAUGGAGGGACGCAGUAGGCUAAGGAAUGCAUGCGAUUGGAAGUGCAUGUCCAAGCAAUGAGUCUUGAGUAGAGUUAAAUGCUUUACUCUCUAAGGACAAGUUGUGACGGGGAGCGAAAUAAUAGUAGCGAAGUUCCUGAUGUCACACUGCCAAGAAAAGCUUCUAGUGAGAAAACAACUGCCCGUACCGUAAACCGACACAGGUAGUCGAGGAGAGUAUCCUAAGGUGAGCGAGCGAACUCUCGUUAAGGAACUCGGCAAAAUGACCCCGUAACUUCGGGAGAAGGGGUGCUGACUUCGGUCAGCCGCAGUGAAUAGGCCCAAGCGACUGUUUAUCAAAAACACAGGUCUCUGCAAAAUCGUAAGAUGAAGUAUAGGGGCUGACGCCUGCCCGGUGCUGGAAGGUUAAGAGGAUGGGUUAGCUUCGGCGAAGCUCAGAAUUGAAGCCCCAGUAAACGGCGGCCGUAACUAUAACGGUCCUAAGGUAGCGAAAUUCCUUGUCGGGUAAGUUCCGACCCGCACGAAAGGCGUAACGAUUUG